CUCUCCAUAGUCAGCCACCCUGAAACAUGAAGAAGAGCACUUCAUGGCCUGGACGUUGACCUGAAGUAAAGUUGAUUUAAAUACAGUGUUGAUACGGCGGAUCGAUCUUCUUAAGGUUCCUACAGAUUGUGAAGGGGAGAAACAGUAUGAAGAGCAGCUGGAAAGAGGAAAUGAACGAGGCGGGGAGAGAGAGAGGAGGGUUUGAGCACAUCCAUGUUGCGCUGCAAAGGGUGGGGCCUGGAGGAAUUCACCGCUUUUCUUUCUACUU